rnacentral:rRNA from 1 species
CCUACGUGUGGCAGCAGUGAGGACUAUUGGUCAAUGUACGCGAGUCUUCCCCCGCCAAGUAGCGUGCAGGCUGACUGCCCUAUGGGUUGUAAACUUCUUUUAUAUAGGAAUAAAACGAGGCACGUGUGCCUUUUUGCAUGUACUUUAUGCAUAAGGAUCGCGUAACUCUUUGCUAGGAGCGGCGCUAAUACGGAGUAUCCAGGCGUUAUCCGGAUUUAUUGGGUUUAAAGGGAGCGUAGAUGGGUUGUUAAGUCAGUUGUGAAAGUUUGCGGCUCAACCGUAAAAUUGCAAUUGAUACUGGCAGUCUUGAGUACAGUUGAGGUAGGCGGAAUUCGUGGUGUAGCGGUGAAAUGCUUAGAUAUCACGAAGAACCCCGAUUGCGAAGGCAGGUUACUAAACUGUGACUGACAUUGAUGCUCGAAAGUGUGGGUAUCAAACAGGAUUAGAUACCCGGGUAGUC